AGUGUGAGGAAAUCAUCUCUCUCUCUCUCUCUCUCUCUCUCUCUCUCUCUCUCUCUGUGUGUGUGUGUUUGUAUGUGCGUGUGUUGACACAUUUAGUGCUGCAGAGAGACCCUUGGUGCUGCUCUCCUUCCCAGCACAAGAGAGCAGGCGAGCAUGAAGUCUCACGAGGGAGAGCUGGUGAGGGAGAUCUCCAAGCUGCAGGGCAUCGUGUCGGAGCUGAAGGCUGGCUUCUCGCGGGCGCUGCUGGAGCUCAGCCACAUCCAGCACGGGGACAGCCGACUGCAGAGCCAGCUGCAGGAGACCCAGAGCUGUUGCCACAAGCGCGCCCUGCACCUGGAGGCCAUGGUGCAGUCUCUCAGGGAAGAGCUAGAGGAGGUCCGUGCUCAGAUUAGGCUACUAUAUGGCGACCGCUUCAAACCAGACCAGGAGUCAAAGACGCCACAGUCUGCUGAAGCCCGUGCUCAAGGGUCAGGGGUCACACAGGGAGACAGUGGGAGCGGGCACAGCUCAAACAUGUGCCAGCGUGAGGAUGGAGGAUGCCAGUGCCAGUCUAGCGGGAGCUCCGCAUCUGUGUCGUCCACUGCGUCUCUGAAGGCAGGUCUGCUGCUGCACUGCUACCUGCAGGGCCUCCGUGCGGGCCAGUGCCUGAGCACAGGUGAGCAGCUAUCCAGUCAUCUAUUCUCUAAUGAAUGCAUCUAUACAGCCAUCCAUCCAUCCGUUCAAUCAAUUCAUCUAUAUAUCCAUUUACUCAUUCAUCACUCCACUUAGCCUUGUAUUCACCCAACCAUCCAUCACUCCAUUUACCCAUCUUACCCAAAUGUCUACCUAUCCAUCCAUCCAUCCAUCCAUUCACCCGUCUUCAAUGUGGUUUUUUUUCUCUCUCUUCAGACGGUACAGUCAGUUGUCAAGUGGUGCCCAUGUGUGUGAGGGUUCCUCAGGCUGUGAUUGGUCCCUGGGGAGGAGAGGUGCCACGCCCCUGCUCUCUUGAGGGUAGGAGGCAGCAGGUAAUUGUGCAGUUGUUGCAGUCGGAGUGGGAGUACGUGUCCAGCCUGGGCCAACUCUAUGACAAAUACAAAUCCCCACCUGAACAGGCCAGUGACGUGGAGCCACAUAAGGUAUUUCUGAGACAUGUGGAGCAGAUGCUGCAGCGCCACCUAGUGUUCAGAAACGCCCUGGAGGAGAGGCUGGCUGCAGACCAGUGGAGGUGUCUAGUGGGGGAUGUAUUUAGCAAACUCACAGGCCAUGGAGAGGCAGCGUUCUCCGAGGCGUAUCUGGGCUACGUGUCCACUCUGCCAACCAUCCUCAACGCAGAGAUCAGCAAGGUACAGCCAGGAGCAAAGACUCACAACACCCAGGUGAGAAAGGUCUACACACCUCCACACAAAGGUGUCUCUUUUAUGUGUGUGUGCAGCGUAAAGUUGUCUGGGCAUGGUUGA
rnacentral:lncRNA from 1 species